AGGACGAACGCUGGCGGCGUGCUUAGCACAUGCAAGUCGAACGGAAAGGCCCUGCUUUUGUGGGGUGCUCGAGUGGCGAACGGGUGAGUAACACGUGAGUAACCUGCCCUUGACUUUGGGAUAACUUCAGGAAACUGGGGCUAAUACCGGAUAGGAGCUCCUGCUGCAUGGUGGGGGUUGGAAAGUUUCGGCGGUUGGGGAUGGACUCGCGGCUUAUCAGCUUGUUGGUGGGGUAGUGGCUUACCAAGGCUUUGACGGGUA
rnacentral:rRNA from 1 species